GGUCUUGUGGUCUAGUGGUAUGAUUCUCGCUUAGGGUCUUGUGACAAAACCUGAGCUGCUUGCGAGAGGCCCCGCGUUCGAAUCGCGGCAAGACCC